rnacentral:rRNA from 1 species
CCUACGGGUGGCUGCAGUGGGGAAUAUUGGACAAUGGGCGAAAGCCUGAUCCAGCCAUGCCGCGUGUGUGAAGAAGGCCUUCGGGUUGUAAAGCACUUUCAGUGGGGAAGAAAGCCUUGGGGCUAAUACCCUCGAGGAAGGACAUCACCCACAGAAGAAGCACCGGCUAACCCCGUGCCAGCAGCCGCGGUAAUACGGAGGGUGCGAGCGUUAAUCGGAAUUACUGGGCGUAAAGCGCGCGUAGGCGGUCUGAUAAGCCGGUUGUGAAAGCCCCGGGCUCAACCUGGGAACGGCAUCCGGAACUGUCAGGCUAGAGUGCAGGAGAGGAAGGUAGAAUUCCCGGUGUAGCGGUGAAAUGCGUAGAGAUCGGGAGGAAUACCAGUGGCGAAGGCGGCCUUCUGGACUGACACUGACGCUGAGGUGCGAAAGCGUGGGUAGCAAACAGGAUUAGAUACCCUGGUAGUC